rnacentral:rRNA from 1 species
GGGGAAUUUUGGACAAUGGGCGCAAGCCUGAUCCAGCCAUGCCGCGUGUCUGAAGAAGGCCUUCGGGUUGUAAAGGACUUUUGUCAGGGAAGAAAAGGGCGGGGUUAAUACCCCUGUCUGAUGACGGUACCUGAAGAAUAAGCACCGGCUAACUACGUGCCAGCAGCCGCGGUAAUACGUAGGGUGCGAGCGUUAAUCGGAAUUACUGGGCGUAAAGCGGGCGCAGACAGUUACUUAAGCAGGAUGUGAAAUCCCCGGGCUCAACCUGGGAACUGCGUUCUGAACUGGGUGACUAGAGUGUGUCAGAGGGAGGUAGAAUUCCACGUGUAGCAGUGAAAUGCGUAGAGAUGUGGAGGAAUACCGAUGGCGAAGGCAGCCUCCUGGGAUAACACUGACGUUCAUGCCCGAAAGCGUGGGUAGCAAACAGGAUUAGAUACCCUGGUAGUCCACGCCCUAAACGAUGUCGAUUAGCUGUUGGGCAGCAUGACUGCUUAGUAGCGAAGCUAACGCGUGAAAUCGACCGCCUGGGGAGUACGGUCGCAAGAUUA